GAGUGUAGUUCAGUGGUAGAGCGCCUGCCUGGCGCUCAAGGCCCUGGGUUAGAUUCCAAGCACCA
rnacentral:tRNA from 1 species